rnacentral:rRNA from 1 species
GUGCCAGCAGCCGCGGUAAGACAGAGGAGCCAAGCGUUGUCCGGAUUGACUGGGCGUAAAGCGCACGCAGGCGGUCGUGCACGUGGGGUGUGAAAGCUCUCGGCUUAACUGAGAGAGGUCACCUCAUACGGCGCGGCUCGAGCCCUGCAGAGGUCCACGGAAUUGCCGGUGUAGUGGUGAAAUGCGUAGAGAUCGGCAGGAACACCCAGGGGGAAACCAGUGGACUGGGCAGGGGCUGACGCUCAGGUGCGAAAGCGUGGGGAGCGAACCGGAUUAGAAACCCCCGUAGUCC